rnacentral:rRNA from 1 species
AUGGGUGUGGAUCAAGAGGUGGAGGUGGUGGAAUCGUGCAUGGUGAAGCCGAGCGAAGAGACGCCUAGCCAUGGUCUCUGGCUCUCCCUACUCGAUCUCAAAAUGGUGAAUAGAGGCCACACGCCGACCGUAUACUUCUACAGUUCCGACUCCGGCGCCGUCGAUAACUUCUUCGACGUGGCCAGGUUGAAGGCGGCGAUGGCCAAGGCUCUCGUGGCCUUCUACCCUCUCGCCGGCCGUCUCAGCGUGGAUGGCGACGGCCGGCCAGAGAUCGACUGCGCCGGCCAGGGCGCGCUAUUCGUUGUCGCUCGUUCAGACCUCACCGUCGACGGCUUCGUUGACUUCCAGCCGUCGCCGGAACUAAGGAGGCUCUUUGUUCCCCGCGUUGAGGACUCGCCUUCCAUCAUGUGCGCCAUCCAGGUGACCUUCAUGGGAUGCGGCGGGGUGGCCUUGGGGACGGCGCUGCACCACGCGGCCAUCGACGCCGUAAGCGCUGUCCACUUCUUCCAGACGUGGUCCGCCUUCUCCAGGGACGGCGACGCGGCGGCGACGGCGCUGGAGCUCCCAUGCCACGACCGCACCCUCCUCCGCGCACGCUCCCCACCCGUCGUCCACCCCGACGCUCUCACCGUGUUCUGUCCGAAGCUACUGAGCCUAGCAGUAGCCGAGCCGUCGGGGCUCGUGGUCAACCAGAUCUUCGUCCUCUCCAAGGACCAGGUCGCCGCUCUCAAGCGUGCCUGCACUGGCAGCGGUGACAUCGGCCGGGUGAGCACGUUCUGCGCCGUGAGCGCCCACGUGUGGAGGUCCUUCUGCACCGCCCGCCGGCUGCCGACGGACGCCACGACGCGCCUCACCUUCCCGGCCAACAUUCGGGGCGCCCUGAGGCCGCCGCUCCCGGCCCGCUACUUCGGGAACGGGAUCAUCGUCCUGGGCGCUGCCGGCAAGGUGCGGGACAUUGAAUCGGAGGAGCUGGGCUCCGUUGCCCGCCGGGUCAAUGGCGCGGUCCGCAGGAUGGAUGACGAGCUUGUGCGCUCGGCGAUCGACUACUUGGAGAUAAACGGUAGCAAGCAGCCCCCCAGCAGCAUGCCGGAGACUGAGCUGAGGGUGAUCAGCUGGCUGGGCAUGCCGGUAUACGACGCGGAUUUCGGGUGGGGGAAGCCCCUCGUGAUGCACCGUGCUGUUCAGCAGCGCGCAGGAUUCGUCUACCUCAUGGACGGUGUCAGCGGGAGUGGCGGCGUGCGCAUCCUCGUGUCUAUGGAAGCUCCAAUUCUCAACGACUUCCAGCGCCUGCUAUAUGCCACCUUCGUCUAG